UACGGAAGGCAGCAGUGGGGAAGUAUUGCACAAUGGGCGCAAGCCUGAUGCAGCCAUGCCGCGUGUAUGAAGAAGGCCUUCGGGUUGUAAAGUACUUUCUAGUCGUGAGGAAGGUGUUAAGGUUAAUAACCUUAGCAAUUGACGUUAGCGACAGAAGAAGCACCGGCUAACUCCGUGCCAGCAGCCGCGGUAAUACGGAGGGUGCGAGCGUUAAUCGGAAUUACUGGGCGUAAAGGGCACGCAGGCGGUUAAUUAAGUUGGAUGUGAAAUCCCCGGGCUUAACCUGGGAAUGGCAUUCAAGACUGGUUAGCUAGAGUCUUGUAGAGGGGGUAGAAUUCCAUGUGUAGCGGUGAAAUGCGUAGAGAUGUGGAGGAAUACCGGUGGCGAAGGCGGCCCCCUGGACAAAAGACUGACGCUCAUGUGCGAAAGCGUGGGGAGCAAACAGGGAUUAGAUACC
rnacentral:rRNA from 1 species